GGGUUGUGAGGUUAAGCGACUAAGCGUACACGGUGGAUGCCCUGGCAGUCAGAGGCGAUGAAGGACGUGCUAAUCUGCGAAAAGCGUCGGUAAGGUGAUAUGAACCGUUAUAACCGGCGAUGUCCGAAUGGGGAAACCCAGUGCAAUUCGUUGCACUAUCGUUAACUGAAUACAUAGGUUAACGAGGCGAACCGGGGGAACUGAAACAUCUAAGUACCCCGAGGAAAAGAAAUCAACCGAGAUUCCCCCAGUAGCGGCGAGCGAACGGGGAGCAGCCCAGAGUCUGAAUCAGCUUGUGUGUUAGUGGAACGGUCUGGAAAGUCCGACGGUACAGGGUGAUAGUCCCGUACACCAAAAUGCACAGGUUGUGAACUCGAAGAGUAGGGCGGGACACGUGGUAUCCUGUCUGAAUAUGGGGACCAUCCUCCAAGGCUAAAUACUCCUGACUGACCGAUAGUGAACCAGUACCGUGAGGGAAAGGCGAAAAGAACCCCGGCGAGGGGAGUGAAAAAGAACCUGAAACCGUGUACGUACAAGCAGUGGGAGCACCUUCGGGUGUGACUGCGUACCUUUGUAUAAUGGGUCAGCGACUUAUAUUCUGUAGCAAGGUUAACCGUAUAGGGGAGCCGCAGGAAACCGAGUCUUAACUGGGCGUUAAGUUGCAGGGUAUAGACCCGAAACCCGGUGAUCUAGCCAUGGGCAGGUUGAAGGUUGGGUAACACUAACUGGAGGACCGAACCGACUAAUGUUGAAAAAUUAGCGGAUGACUUGUGGCUGGGGGUGAAAGGCCAAUCAAACCGGGAGAUAGCUGGUUCUCCCGAAAGCUAUUUAGGUAGCGCCUCGUGAAUUCAUCUUCGGGGGUAGAGCACUGUUUCGGCUAGGGGGUCAUCCCGACUUACCAACCCGAUGCAAACUACGAAUACCGAAGAAUGUUAUCACGGGAGACACACGGCGGGUGCUAACGUCCGUCGUGAAGAGGGAAACAACCCAGACCGCCAGCUAAGGUCCCAAAGUCAUGGUUAAGUGGGAAACGAUGUGGGAAGGCACAGACAGCCAGGAUGUUGGCUUAGAAGCAGCCAUCAUUUAAAGAAAGCGUAAUAGCUCACUGGUCGAGUCGGCCUGCGCGGAAGAUGUAACGGGGCUAAACCAUGCACCGAAGCUGCGGCAGCGACACUAUGUGUUGUUGGGUAGGGGAGCGUUCUGUAAGCCUGCGAAGGUGACCUGUGAGGGUUGCUGGAGGUAUCAGAAGUGCGAAUGCUGACAUAAGUAACGAUAAAGCGGGUGAAAAGCCCGCUCGCCGGAAGACCAAGGGUUCCUGUCCAACGUUAAUCGGGGCAGGGUGAGUCGACCCUAAGGCGAGGCCGAAAGGCGUAGUCGAUGGGAAACAGGUUAAUAUUCCUGUACUUGGUGUUACUGCGAAGGGGACGGAGAAGGCUAUGUUAGCCGGGCGACGGUUGUCCCGGUUUAAGCAUGUAGGCUGGUUGUCCAGGCAAAUCCGGAUAAUCAAGGCUGAGGUGUGAUGACGAGGCACUACGGUGCUGAAGUAACAAAUGCCCUGCUUCCGUGAAAGCCUCUAAGCAUCAGGUAACAUCAAAUCGUACCCCAAACCGACACAGGUGGUCAGGUAGAGAAUACCAAGGCGCUUGAGAGAACUCGGGUGAAGGAACUAGGCAAAAUGGUGCCGUAACUUCGGGAGAAGGCACGCUGGUGUGUAGGUGAAGUCCCUGCGGAUGGAGCUGAGACCAGUCGAAGAUACCAGCUGGCUGCAACUGUUUAUUAAAAACACAGCACUGUGCAAACACGAAAGUGGACGUAUACGGUGUGACGCCUGCCCGGUGCCGGAAGGUUAAUUGAUGGGGUUAUCCGUAAGGAGAAGCUCUUGAUCGAAGCCCGGUAAACGGCGGCCGUAACUAUAACGGUCCUAAGGUAGCGAAAUUCCUUGUCGGGUAAGUUCCGACCUGCACGAAUGGCGUAAUGAUGGCGGGCUGUCUCCACCCGAGACUCAGUGAAAUUGAACUCGCUGUGAAGAUGCAGUGUACCCGCGGCAAGACGGAAAGACCCCGUGAACCUUUACUAUAGCUUGACACUGAACAUUGAGCCUUGAUGUGUAGGAUAGGUGGGAGGCUUUGAAGCGUGGACGCCAGUCUGCGUGGAGCCAACCUUGAAAUACCACCCUUUAAUGUUUGAUGUUCUAACGUUGGCCCUUACCGGGGUUGCGGACAGUGUCUGGUGGGUAGUUUGACUGGGGCGGUCUCCUCCCAAAGCGUAACGGAGGAGCACGAAGGUUAGCUAAUCUGGUCGGACAUCAGGAGGUUAGUGCAAUGGCAUAAGCUAGCUUGACUGCGAGCGUGACGGCGCGAGCAGGUGCGAAAGCAGGUCAUAGUGAUCCGGUGGUUCUGAAUGGAAGGGCCAUCGCUCAACGGAUAAAAGGUACUCCGGGGAUAACAGGCUGAUACCGCCCAAGAGUUCAUAUCGACGGCGGUGUUUGGCACCUCGAUGUCGGCUCAUCACAUCCUGGGGCUGAAGUAGGUCCCAAGGGUAUGGCUGUUCGCCAUUUAAAGUGGUACGCGAGCUGGGUUUAGAACGUCGUGAGACAGUUCGGUCCCUAUCUGCCGUGGGCGCUGGAGAAUUGAGGGGGGCUGCUCCUAGUACGAGAGGACCGGAGUGGACGCAUCACUGGUGUUCGGGUUGUCAUGCCAAUGGCACUGCCCGGUAGCUAAAUGCGGAAGAGAUAAGUGCUGAAAGCAUCUAAGCACGAAACUUGCCCCGAGAUGAGUUCUCCCUGAGACUUUAAGUCUCCUGAAGGAACGUUAAAGACGAUGACGUUGAUAGGCCGGGUGUGUAAGCGCAGCGAUGCGUUGAGCUAACCGGUACUAAUGAACCGUGAGGCUUAACCUUACAACGCCGAAG
rnacentral:rRNA from 1 species